CUGACACAAAGCUCAGCAGGACAAGGACAGUCUAGGCUGAGGACGCAGUAGGAGGAAAAUCCACGGUAAACACUUCCUGGGGACACUUACCAUGAUCACUGCCCUUCCCUGGGUCCCUCAGCAGAAGCCCAACAGAGUCUCUAGGAGUGACGGCGUGUACCACUGUGAUGUGAAAAAUGUGAACCUCGAAACACACAGCUG